rnacentral:rRNA from 1 species
GGUCAAGCUAGAAAGGGCACACGGUGGAUGCCUAGGCGUCGAGAGGCGAAGAAGGACGUGGAUAGCUGCGAAAAGCUCCGGGUAGCUGCGAACAAGCGUUGAACCGGAGAUCUCCGAAUCGGGCAACCGAAUGCGGUCAUACGCAUUAGCGCAGGGCUGAAUACAUAGGCUCUGCGCGGCCAACCCAGGGAACUGAAACAUCUAAGUACCUGGUGGAAAGGACAUCAAAUGAGACUCCCCUAGUAGCGGCGAGCGAACGGGGGACCAGCCUAAACCGAUUCAGUGUAAGCCUGGUGGCGUUGCUGAAUGGGUGUUGUGGGUCUGAUGAUGGAGUGCACCAGCGCUCUGACAGAGUUAACAAAUGUAUGGUUAGUAGAACAGCUUGGAACGGCUGGCCAAAGAGGGUGACAGCCCCGUAAACGAAAACGAUACAUCUCUGCAUUGGCACCCGAGUAGCGCAGGGCACGUGGAACCCGGCGUGAAUCUGGGAGGACCAUCUUCCGCUAAGUACUCCUCGACGACCGAUAGUGAACAAGUACCGUGAGGGAAAGGUGAAAAGCACCCCGGCAAGGGGAGUGAAAUAGUACCUGAAACCGUGUGUCUACAAGCAGUUGAAGCACUAUGUAUUCGUACAGUGCGACAGCGUACCUUUUGCAUCAUGGGCCUGCGAGUUACGCUAUGUCGCAAGGUUAAGCCGUGAGGUGUAGCCGAAGGGAAACCGAGUCCAAAUAGGGCGAUUGAGUGGCAUGGCGUAGACCCGAACCCGAGCGAUUCAUCCAUGGGCAGGCUGAAGCGUGGGUAAACCACGUGGAGGGCCGAACUCACCACAGUUGAAAAUGUGGAGAUGACCUGUGGAUCGGAGGAAAGGCUAAUCUAGCUCGGAAAUAGCUGGUUCUCCGCGAAAUAUAUUGAGGUAUAGCCUCGACGAUUGUACCGAGGUAGAGCACUGAAUGGGCUAGGGUCUUACCAGACUACCAAACCCAAUCAAACUCCGAAUGCCGAGGACAACUAUCCGGGAGGCAGA